rnacentral:rRNA from 1 species
GACGAACGCUGGCGGCGUGCUUAACACAUGCAAGUCGAACGGAAAGGCCCUGCUUUUGUGGGGUGCUCGAGUGGCGAACGGGUGAGUAACACGUGAGUAACCUUCCCUUGACUUUGGGAUAACUUCAGGAAACUGGGGCUAAUACCGGAUAGGAGCUCCUGCUGCAUGGUGGGGGUUGGAAAGUUUCGGCGGUUGGGGAUGGACUCGCGGCUUAUCAGCUUGUUGGUGGGGUAGUGGCUUACCAAGGCUUUGACGGGUAGCCGGCCUGAGAGGGUGACCGGCCACAUUGGGACUGAGAUACGGACCAGACUCCUACGGGAGGCAGAAGUGGGGAAUAUUGCACAAUGGGCGGAAGCCUGAUGCAGCAACGCCGCGUGCGGGAUGACGGCCUUCGGGUUGUAAACCGCUUUCGCCUGUGACGAAGCGUGAGUGACGGUAAUGGGUAAAGAAGCACCGGCUAACUACGUG